GCCAGUGUGGUUUAGUGGUUUGAGUGUUGGACUAUGACUCUGGAGGCCAGGGUUCGAUUUACAGUUUGACC